GCGAACGCUGGCGGCAGGCUUAACACAUGCAAGUCGAGCGGGCACUUUCGGGUGUCAGCGGCGGACGGGUGAGUAACGCGUGGGAACGUGCCCUCUGGUUCGGAAUAACUCAGGGAAACUUGAGCUAAUACCGGAUACGCCCUUUUGGGGAAAGGCUUGCUGCCGGAGGAUCGGCCCGCGCCUGAUUAGCUAGUUGGUGAGGUAACGGCUCACCAAGGCGACGAUCAGUAGCUGGUCUGAGAGGAUGAUCAGCCACACUGGGACUGAGACACGGCCCAGACUCCUACGGGAGGCAGCAGUGGGGAAUAUUGGACAAUGGGCGCAAGCCUGAUCCAGCCAUGCCGCGUGAGUGAUGAAGGCCUUAGGGUUGUAAAGCUCUUUUAUCCGGGACGAUAAUGACGGUACCGGAGGAAUAAGCCCCGGCUAACUUCGUG
rnacentral:rRNA from 1 species